rnacentral:rRNA from 1 species
AUUGAACGCUGGCGGCAGGCCUAACACAUGCAAGUCGAACGGAAACAUGAAGAAGCUUGCUUCUUUGCUGUCGCGUGGCGCGCGGGAGUGAAAUGUCUGGGAAACUGCUUUAAGGCGGGGGUUAACUCCUGGAACCGGUAGCUAAUACCGCUUAACGUUGGAAGACCAAAAAGCGGGAGUUAAAGGCCUUUUUCCAUUCGAUGUGACCAGAAGGGAUUAGCUAGUAGGUAGGGUAACGGCUCACCUAGGCGACGAUCCAUAGCCGGUCUGAGAGGAUGACCAGCCACACUGGAACUGAGACACGGUCCAGACUCCUACGGGAGGCAGCAGUGGGGAAUAUUGCGCAAAGGGCGCAAGCUUGACGGAGCCAUGCCGCGUGUGUGAUGAAGGCCUUCGGGUUGUAAAGUACUGUCAUCGGGGAGGAAGGAAGUAGAGUGAAUACCUGUGCUUAUUGACGGUACCCGCAGAAGAAGCACCGGCUAACUACGUG